rnacentral:rRNA from 1 species
UUGAUUGGCCAAACCUCCUCGUCAAAGCCUCAUCUUGUCAAAUCUGAGAAGCUAAGCAGGACUAGGCCUGGUCAGUACUUGGAUGGGUGACCGCUGAAGAUUCUGGGUGGUAAAAUGGG